AAAUGUCCCGUCAAUAUACUUUACGACAAUAAACAGUUUACAUACAGUUAGUCGUCGUAAUGCAAUACACGCAGGUAUAGUAAACUUCAAGCUAGUCCGGGGUCAUGUCAGGUCACAGUCCGGACUCACCUGUUCAAGAUUGUGUAUUACAUGGAUGAUCUAUCGCCGCUUAAAUUUUAUUGGAGCAACUCCAACUUUGUAUCAUCCAAUCAGGAGCCGCAGAAGAUUUUAUUCAGAGUACCAUCUUGGGGUAAAAAAUAUCCCGGUUAACGUAUACGGCCUUGUAAACUUUUGCCACUCAUUAUAUAUAACAC
rnacentral:lncRNA from 1 species